rnacentral:rRNA from 1 species
AUUGAACGCUGGCGGCAGGCCUAACACAUGCAAGUCGAGCGGAUGAAGGGAGCUUGCUCCUGGAUUCAGCGGCGGACGGGUGAGUAAUGCCUAGGAAUCUGCCUGGUAGUGGGGGAUAACGUCCGGAAACGGGCGCUAAUACCGCAUACGUCCUGAGGGAGAAAGUGGGGGAUCUUCGGACCUCACGCUAUCAGAUGAGCCUAGGUCGGAUUAGCUAGUUGGUGGGGUAAAGGCCUACCAAGGCGACGAUCCGUAACUGGUCUGAGAGGAUGAUCAGUCACACUGGAACUGAGACACGGUCCAGACUCCUACGGGAGGCAGCAGUGGGGAAUAUUGGACGAUGGGCGAAAGCCUGAUCCAGCCAUGCCGCGUGUGUGAAGAAGGUCUUCGGAUUGUAAAGCACUUUAAGUUGAGAGGAAGGGCAGUAAGUUAAUACCUUGCUGUUUUGACGUUACCAACAGAAUAAGCACCGGCUAACUUCGUG